UUAGUUUAGGCUAACAACAAUG
rnacentral:snRNA from 1 species